GUUGUGUGUGCUGCUUAGAGCGAACUAUUGGACGACUUCUAGAUCUACUAUGUUAUGAACUUGGAACAGUUUCGAUCUACAAGUAUUCUUGAGGGCUUCAUUCAAUGUUUUUUUUUUUAAGAGUUACUAAAUCUGUAAAAGUAGUUUUAAGAUGUGGAGUUGCUGUGUCAUGUGAAUUAAACUAAAGGUGUUAGUGCUAGCGUGCAAAGUGUGGAGUUGGGAUAAAGCUGGUUGACUCUAAGAUGAAUCCAGCCUGUAGCAUACGGGUGGUUGUCUUCUUGGUGUUUGCUUGUGGUGCCGCGUCUGGGUCUUUUCUGGCUUUGUUCCCUGAAGAUUUCCAUCCAGGCUGGCCGCUGAACAUAGCUGUGACAGUACUCAGUAGUGUGACAGCUCCUGUUGAUGUCAGCGUUGUCUUGUAUGACUCACAGGAUGUCAGUAAAGUGGUGGGGACAGUUCAGGAUCAGCUUCUGGCAGGUGGGUGUCAGGGUGGUUGUC